rnacentral:tRNA from 1 species
CGUCCUGUAGCUCAGUUGGUUAGAGCACCACUCUUAUAAAGUGGGGGUCCUGGGUUCAAGUCCCAGCAGGACGACCA